rnacentral:snoRNA from 1 species
AUGCCCCCUUUCACUUUGCCAAUUGGACUUAUGUCUUUAUUGGCCAUUCAAGUGGGGCAAAGGAAAAACCCUUUAAAACCCAGGCAAACUUAGUGUUUGUCUUGUAACCUGUCAGGGGAAACAUUG